AUCCGUUCACUCUGUUUUUAUGAAGUUGUCGUUGUUGAAUCCAACAAAAGCUCAAGGUCCAGAUGGCCUCCCGGCCUGGCUACUGAAGGAGAAUGCAGACCUUCUUGCAGAACCUAUAGCAGAAAUUAUAAACAGCUCCUUCCGCGAAAGUAGGUUACCACCAUCAUGGAAAGAAGCGGAUAUAGUUCCAGUACCGAAACAAAGAAUAGUAAAAGACGUCAGCAAACACUUAAGACCAAUUUCCCUCACGCCAAUACUUUCUAAAGUAUUUUCUUCAUCAUACAAGAAUAUGUCAAACCGGCGGUUUUAAAAAAGAUUAAAAGUAACCAAUUUGGCUCAAUUCCAAAAUCAUCGACAACCCAGGCUUUGAUCAGCAUGAUACACACAUGGAGCAAGUAUACGGACGGAACUGGCUCUACAGUCAGAGUGGUUGUUUUCGAUUUCAGGAAAGCUUUCGACCUAAUCGAUCACAAUAUAUUGGUUCGAAAGCUAAAAUAUCUAAAUAUCGCCCAUAAUAUUAUCAGUUGGAUCGUUGAUUUCCUGAAAUGCCGCAAACAAAGGGUAAAAUUGUCACAGGACUGUAAAUCGGAAUGGAAAAAUGUGCCGGCAGGAGUUCCCCAAGGAACAAAGUUAGGGCCUUGGUUGUUCGUGUUGAUGAUUGACGAUAUAGACACCACCAAUACAGACUUGUGGAAAUAUGUGGACGAUACCACAGCCGCUGAGAUGGUAGAAAAAGGAGAGACAAGUAAGAUCCAGAAUAUAGUAAAUGAAUUAACGGAAAAAACGUAUAGGAACAAAUUCCAGUUUAAUGAGAAGAAAUGCAAAGAGCUUCGGAUUUCUUUUACAAAAAAUCACCCUGAAUACGCACCUAUUGUUAUCAAUGAUAAAUCAAUAGAAAUUGUGACUACCAUCAAAUUACUGGGUCUGAACAUUUCCAAUAAUCUUAAAUGGAACCAUCAUAUAGAGGAAAUUGCAAAAAAAGCUUCCACUCGGUUGUAUUUCCUGAGGCAACUAAAACGUGCCAAAGUUGCCGAAAAGGAACUUUUAACUUUCUACAAGACUUG